AGCUGAUUAACUGUUAACAGUCAUGCAUAUUGUAUUGUAUUACAUAAGUCCAGUUUUUAGUUUUAGAGAAAUCUCUAAAAUUAGAAUUUUUUAUUUCAUAACAUCUUCACCUAUUAUCGUCUCACGUAAACUAUGUGUUCGACGGAAAAAGGUGGCAUUUUAACACCUCGCAUUAACUUAUUGCAUCAUUUAUUCGAUGAAUCAAUGUUGCAGACAAUAUUGUUCUUAGUCAACAACGAAGACAAGGUUAUUACAAAUCGUUGACCUGGGUUUGCCAAAGUAGCUAAGUAUUUUUGAUUCAGUGCAGACUUUCUAAUAGAAUAAUUCAGAUACUCAGAACACAAUUAUUGUGGCAUAUACAUAAUUAAAAGUAUUCACAAUAUCGCAUUUACUGGACUUUAAUAUAUGUGCAGAGUAUGGGAACAGAAGUAAAAAGAAUAAACUAACUUCUACGAAAUGAUACAAUAGUAUAGUGUCACGCUGUUGUGCAUUUUUUGUGGCAAGCUUCACCUAAGGUUUCGCAAGAAAAGUUGCGCCGCACAUUUAUGAACUCUUGAUUUGCAAUCAAUAGAAUUGCUUUACCAUCAAUAGAGCGAGAUAAAAAUUUUUUGAUGAUGAUAUGGCGUUUUUAAAAGUUGUCUUUACCCUAAAGAUGUUUGGUAUAACCAAUGAGUGCAAAAUAAACCUUCAUUUAUUUUGAAUGAUUCUGCUUCAAAGCCAUGUAAGGUAUCGCCAAGAUUUUGUCAUCAAAGAAUACAAGAAUUCAGCCUGCAGGAUGCUACGAAAACAACAAGGCUGUCGAAUAAAAACGAAAGGGGAACGACGAAUCGUUCCUGGAAGCAGAAUGAAUAUGAAAACCAGUCAGAUUUUUAAGGUGUUUCACACAGAGUAAGUUAAUUGAAAAUUACUGCGUUCUAAAGUUUCUGUUGGCAAUAAGAUUAAAAUCCAAACAAAAGCUGAAAAUUAAUAAAAAUGUGCAGCAGCACAUCACCGAAGUGCUUUCGUCAAAAGCGGCCCAUGCAACCGCGAGUUGGAGAAACAUCAAAAUGAGAGGAAGAAAUUUAUUUAUAAAGUCGGUUUGCGAUAAGUUUAUGAUAUUUGUAUUGGCUACAAUGUUAAAUACUUAAAACCUCAAGCAGCAUGCAUCAUACUUUGCCACCUAGUACUUUUGUGAAAUAAAGAAUUGAUCUCUUCGCUUAACCUGCCUAGCCGCAUGACAAAAGACAUGCGUAGUCAAGUAAAAAUAUAGUGCUGAAAUAAACCAGGAGCACGUGUUCGCGAAACUUUUCCCGUACGGCUUUUCGCGUACCAUUACUACAUCACCAGUCGAAAUUAAAUAAAAAGCCCCAAAACAUAGGUACGAUGAACGAGUAAUGGUGUGAAACGGCUUCAAACUUUGAGAGAGCAUUAUUUCAAAAUAUCACGAUAGCAAUACCGAUUGGAUUUCAAUAUUGCUAAAUUCACGUGUACUUGGCAAAAUAAACAAAACGGAGGCUUCCAUUUGAAAAUUUUAUUAAGCGUAACAAGUUUAACAGCUCCGAUAAAGUGUUUCUUUAACAUUAAUUUUGUUGUUGUUGUAUUCAGUUAUUGUUAGCAAACUAUAGUACGGUGGUUUUGUCCGUAUUGUAAAUUUCGCAACAUAGAGUUUUAUUAACCCUUAUACCACCAAAAAAAAAUAAAUAAAAAAUGACAAGCAAUAUUUAUUAUUUCUUUAUUAUUUGCCUCCCAAAGCCGUAAUGCCUAAACGUUUGUUAAGGCCGUUCACAUGCGAAAUCAGCAAUGUUUCUAUUCGCAAUGCUUCUAUUCGCUUUUACUGUUUGCUCAUGUUCAUUACACUUCGUAUUAAAUUAGUAAACAGUGACGAAGCUAAAUCAUGGCUCUAGGACGAAC